UACGGAAGGCAGCAGUGGGGAAUAUUGCACAAUGGGCGCAAGCCUGAUGCAGCCAUGCCGCGUGUAUGAAAAGGCCUUCGGGUUGUAAAGUACUUUCAGUCGUGAGGAAGGUGUUAAGGUUAAUAACCUUAGCAAUUGACGUUAGCGACAGAAGAAGCACCGGCUAACUCCGUGCCAGCAGCCGCGGUAAUACGGAGGGUGCGAGCGUUAAUCGGAAUUACUGGGCGUAAAGGGCACGCAGGCGGUUAAUUAAGUUGGAUGUGAAAUCCCCGGGCUUAACCUGGGAAUGGCAUUCAAGACUGGUUAGCUAGAGUCUUGUAGAGGGGGUAGAAUUCCAUGUGUAGCGGUGAAAUGCGUAGAGAUGUGGAGGAAUACCGGUGGCGAAGGCGGCCCCGUGGACAAAGACUGACGCUCAUGUGCGAAAGCGUGGGGAGCAAACGAGGGAUUAGAUACC
rnacentral:rRNA from 1 species